rnacentral:rRNA from 1 species
CCUACGGGAGGCAGCAGUGGGGAAUUUUGGACAAUGGGCGCAAGCCUGAUCCAGCAAUGCCGCGUGCAGGAUGAAGGCCUUCGGGUUGUAAACUGCUUUUGUACGGAACGAAACGGUGAGCUCUAAUACAGUUUGCUAAUGACGGUACCGUAAGAAUAAGCACCGGCUAACUACGUGCCAGCAGCCGCGGUAAUACGUAGGGUGCGAGCGUUAAUCGGAAUUACUGGGCGUAAAGCGUGCGCAGGCGGUGAUGUAAGACAGAUGUGAAAUCCCCGGGCUCAACCUGGGACCUGCAUUUGUGACUGCAUCGCUAGAGUACGGUAGAGGGGGAUGGAAUUCCGCGUGUAGCAGUGAAAUGCGUAGAUAUGCGGAGGAACACCGAUGGCGAAGGCAAUCCCCUGGACCUGUACUGACGCUCAUGCACGAAAGCGUGGGGAGCAAACAGGAUUAGAUACCCUGGUAGUCCACGCCCUAAACGAUGUCAACUGGUUGUUGGGUCUUCACUGACUCAGUAACGAAGCUAACGCGUGAAGUUGAACCGCCGUGGGGAGUUCGGCCGCAGGUUGAACUUAAGGAUUGACGGCUUGGNGAGNGCGAGGCGCGACGAGGGAGGAGG